rnacentral:tRNA from 1 species
GCCGUUGUGGCCGAGUGGUCUAAGGCGGUGGUUUUAAGUUUACGAAUCAGAUACAAGCGUUCUGCUUUCGGAUUACAUAAACACCACUAUCGAGAGAUGCGUGGGUUCGAACCCCAUCGGCGGCA